CCAGCAGCUGCGGUAAUUCCAGCUCCAAUAGCGUAUAUUAAAGUUGUUGCAGUUAAAAAGCUCGUAGUUGGAUUUCUGGUGCGGGAGCCCGGUCCGCCGCUUGUCGGUGCGCACUGGCGGUCCCGCGCCAUCCUUGGGGAGAGCACGCCUGGCAUUAGGUUGUCGGGCGUGGGACCCCCAUCCUUUACUGUGAAAAAAUUAGAGUGUUUAAAGCAGGCUUAGGCCGUUGAAUACAUUAGCAUGGAAUAAUAAGAUAGGACUUUGGUGGUCUAUUUUGUUGGUUUGCACGCCAGAGUAAUGAUUAAUAGGGACAGUUGGGGGUAUCCGUAUUUCGUAGUCAGAGGUGAAAU
rnacentral:rRNA from 1 species